UUCCUUAUUUACUGGAUGAUGUUGCUGCUAAAAAGCAGUAGAAAGCCUCCAGAAUAACAGAGGUUUAUGUGUUGGGGCUUAAAGCUCUAAAAUCUAUCCAGCUGUGGUUUUGGUCUUCAUAACAUCCAGUGAUAUGAGAGGAGGAACAGGUGGAGGGAGGAGCAACACUGUCAAAGAGCAGAACAGAAAAGGACUCCCACUGUCACAUCCAUCCAAUAUCUAAACCGUACAUAACAGAGACUGUGUGGAAGAUGCUGUCACUGCAUCACUGGCUCAUGUUUCCUUUGUUUGUGAUCACACUAAAAGGAGUCAGCUGUCAACAACUCACUGCAGACAAGACUGAAGAGUCCAGUUUAGAAGGAACCACUGUUACUCUGUCCUACAGAUACUCCAACACUAUAUCUGCUGGUGAUGAUUUCUUCUGGUAUCAACAAUAUCCACAAAAACCUCCAGAGUUCCUCCUGUACAUCUCAGGACUUAACACAUCAAGACCAUCAGAGUCUCUGGAAUCAGCCUCAAGGUUCUCCACUAAACUGUCUGGAGAAAAACAUCUGGAUCUGGAGAUCUCCUCUGCUGCAGUGACAGACUCUGCUGUGUACUACUGUGCUAUGAGG